UGCAGAGGUCUCAAGCGUUGUUCGGAUUCAUUGGGCGUAAAGGGUGCGUAGGUGGCGUGGUAAGUCGGGUGUGAAAUUUCGGAGCUUAACUCCGAAACUGCAUUCGAUACUGCUGUGCUUGAGGACUGGAGAGGAGACUGGAAUUUACGGUGUAGCAGUGAAAUGCGUAGAGAUCGUAAGGAAGACCAGUGGCGAAGGCGGGUCUCUGGACAGUUCCUGACACUGAGGCACGAAGGCCAGGGGAGCAAACGGG
rnacentral:rRNA from 1 species